rnacentral:rRNA from 1 species
GACGAACGCUGGCGGCGUGCUUAACACAUGCAAGUCGAACGCUGAAGCUCAGCUUUUGUUGGGUGGAUGAGUGGCGAACGGGUGAGUAACACGUGAGUAACCUGCCCCCUUCUUUGGGAUAACGCCCGGAAACGGGUGCUAAUACUGGAUAUUCACUGGUCUUCGCAUGGGGGUUGGUGGAAAGGGUUUUUCUGGUGGGGGAUGGGCUCGCGGCCUAUCAGCUUGUUGGUGGGGUGAUGGCCUACCAAGGCUUUGACGGGUAGCCGGCCUCAGAGGGUGACCGGUCACAUUGGGACUGAGAUACGGCCCAGACUCCUACGGGAGGCAGCAGUGGGGAAUAUUGCACAAUGGGCGCAAGCCUGAUGCAGCGACGCCGCGUGAGGGAUGGAGGCCUUCGGGUUGUGAACCUCUUUCGCUCAUGGUCAAGCCGCAACAAUGGUUGUGGUGAGGGUAGUGGGUAAAGAAGCGCCGGCUAACUACGUG